AAGAAACAUGGUAACGUUUGCUGGCUAAAGGUGUUAGACUAGCGACCAAAACCUACAACAUGUUUGCCAGUAUCACUCGUUAUCUCACAAUAGUAUAAUCAUAAAAUAAUCAUAGAAGACAUGACAAAGACAAUGACUGGUAUAAGGAUUUAUAUUCAUUUAAGAGAGGAAACAGUGACCAGACACAUCGGCAGGUUGUCAAAACUUUGUCUGGUCUGAGGAAUAAGCGGGUGUACAUAAUGGAUGGAUGGAUGGAUUGUGCCUCUUGUGGAUCGUGACCACAACAGGAGGUACACAAAAGGCCUAACAAACAGCUGGCAUUUACUCUAUAAAGACAAUUGGUGCUGUAAACAACACUGAAGUGCUACCUUUGUCGACGUCUAAAAAAAAAAAUCUGCCUGAAUUUGUGGAGUGCUGCAUCAGAACAUAAAGUUUUCACACUGGUGUGGGCUCAUAAAUGAACGAAAUAUGACAACAACAAGGAAAUGGACAAGUUGUACACUCGGGCACCUGGAACAUCCACCUUCAGCCUUCAUCAUGGAUCCAAGUGAAAAGAAACUUUGAGCACAGUGCUGACACUGGCGGACAGCGCGUGUCGUAUGGCACCAGAACCUGCCGACAGGUACAGCGAUGAAACCUUGAAACCGAGAAGGUCUAUUGAUGGAGACGACUGUCUGUCUGAGGCAAGGGGGUUUUUUUUUUGUCUGCUCUACUGCAAAGACCUUGAGGAUAUAUUUGGCAGAAAGGAACAGGAAGCAUAGAGCAAUGGUGUUUGAGCCCCGAGCAGAACAGCAAGAGAGGAGUUUAAGAGUAUAAAUUGUCAAAGGAAGUGGUACAAAUUGGAGCUAGGGGUUCUUCUCAGGCCAACAGAAAUGGACACUUAUGACCACACAGCCUAAGCACUCAGAGCCCAGCACUGGGGCAUAAAUAUCAAAUGAAUAAGUAAUUUGUAGGUUUGAAUGACCCUUCAAGCGAUUAACAAAGAUAUGAAAGGAGGUUUAAUAACCAGUCUGAGCUGUCCAUGGUCAUAACUGGCAUCUUGGCAACAAUAUGUUAUCUUUGAAAACACUCCUUCUGAAACAGCCAAUGAAAAAAAUAAAGACUAUGGCUAAUAUUAGCAGAAGGCUAUCACUGGGGAGUCUGAACGUGCAUAACUGCCCAACUGUACAGCCUGGGAAAGUAUCUAGUUUGCCAAAAAAAAGAAAAAACCAUGUCCUUUUCUCCUGGUGUUCAUUAUCUGUGCCAGAACUUGACAUUCACCGAUGCCUGUUCCGCCAUGGAAUUGAAAGGGGACGUCCACUUUUGCAGGACACGUCUUGACUGGUACAAGGUUGGCGUGGAAACAAAUUUGAGCUGCGUUAGGAUAAGAAUCGCGAGCCUUCCUCUGACCAUCGUGUUGUGCCGUCAGGGAGAGCAAUCUUCCUCCGCCUCUCCCGUUGGUCAGCUGAACCUGUGCUUUCACCUGCCACCCACACUUUAAGCCUGACUAGACAGCUUCCUGCAGGCGGACUGUAAGAGGAGACAGCGUAUAGAUCCCCCUGUAGAUUUAAAUAUUAAUGCCUGCCAGAGGCGCCUGUUGACCCUUUCUCUUUCCCUUUCUCACUUUCCCCGAUGUCCAACCUGCUACCUAACAAUACCCGACCUCCCUGGACAAGUGACCUCUAAGGGAGGUCAGGGGUUGGGAAAAUGUGCAGGACUACUGAAAUGUCCGAAGAGACGCAUGCACACCAACACGAUAGCUCAAGGUGCAGAGUCAAAAGAGUUGAAACUCUGAAAAGAAUGAGACUUGCACGCUUGAUAUAAUGCUCCCAAAUGAAAGUUUUAAUCCAGCAAGAGUAUGUUGGAUACAUGAUCACUGUUGCUAAAACGUUACGCUUUUAAAUGUUCUAUUAUUUUAAAGAAAAUUGAUACUUUUAUCUGCAUGCCUGUGAUUGGGGAAAUUCACCCAGGUCCAACACAUAUCUGGUGAGGGGAAACUGUCUACCUGGAGAGUCCAUUUUACUUUCAGAUAUCCAUCGGAUGUUCCUGUCAACGAAUGGCAGCAACAAACUGGCUGCAGAUGCCCUAUAUGUUUUCUAACCCGUAAUGCGUGUGAACAGGAAUCCCGGCAGCACAGAGACCAGACCCUUGCAUCCCGUUAAUGCGCUUACAGCACUGUGACGCGGCGGCAGUUGUGGCUCAUAGUGGCUCGUGCAUUAUGGGAAACCCGCGCAUCCCCGUCACUCAGGGGGACGUUCUCCUGUGUAAGCGCUGCGGCAGCCAUGUUGGGAUGCUGGCUACACCCCAGGGGUGUUAAACCACAGGGUGAAAAGAGGAAGGAGAGGACGGAAACAAGCCUGCGAUCGCACGCCGCGUCUCUCUAUGCUGGGCACCGGCUGGAUCGCGGUUGCGGGCCGAAUGUAAACGAGGUGGCGCUGCACGUUUCUCACCCGGAAAAAUCCGGGGAUGGAGCCGGGCACCGAGGAACGGUCGGUCGGUCGGUCGGGGCGGAAGCUUCCGGAAAGGGGGCGAGCGCUGGAGCGGCGGCGCAGGAAGCGGCGACCUCGUUUUUGCCGACGGCUCCAAACCCCGGAGCAGGGAUUCCCGCCUCCUGGCGCCACGGGAUAAUCUGCGAACAUCUGGGCGGGCUGGCGGGCUGAUCGCCGUCCCCAUGGCAACCUGCCCUCUCCUCUUUUUUUAAACGGCGGAACACGCUGUGUGCUACCCCGCGGCCUAAUCGCGGUCGGGGUGGAGCGGUCCUCAACCCCAAAGGAGAGGAAAGGAACGUCUUCAGCCGCAGAACAGGGGGGGGGAGGGGGGGGGCUGUGACGGCCUUUUUAAAAAUAGGCGCAGGAUGAUGAAAGGUGGCCGUGCUCUUUCCUCCUCGGCCUCUCCUUCCUGCCGUAAUCUGUGUUUCUAUCUCAGGGGCGGCUAAUAACUUAAAUGAUCUGCCUACACACAGGAGAGGAAGCGAACGGCUCGCCUGUCCUCGGCGCUGUCGAAUAAAGCAGCGGUGCGUCGUCCCUUUUUAUCUCACAUAAGCUUUUCUGAUGUGUACCGUCCAGGAGGCUUGGUAAAGCCAGCAAAACAACUGAUUAAGUUACAG